CGAUGAGUAGGGCGGGACACGUGGUAUCCUGUCUGAAUAUGGGGGGACCAUCCUCCAAGGCUAAAUACUCCUGACUGACCGAUAGUGAACCAGUACCGUGAGGGAAAGGCGAAAAGAACCCCGGCGAGGGGAGUGAAAAAGAACCUGAAACCGUGUACGUACAAGCAGUGGGAGCCUCUUUAUGGGGUGACUGCGUACCUUUUGUAUAAUGGGUCAGCGACUUAUAUUCUGUAGCAAGGUUAACCGAAUAGGGGAGCCGAAGGGAAACCGAGUCUUAACUGGGCGUUAAGUUGCAGGGUAUAGACCCGAAACCCGGUGAUCUAGCCAUGGGCAGGUUGAAGGUUGGGUAACACUAACUGGAGGACCGAACCGACUAAUGUUGAAAAAUUAGCGGAUGACUUGUGGCUGGGGGUGAAAGGCCAAUCAAACCGGGAGAUAGCUGGUUCUCCCCGAAAGCUAUUUAGGUAGCGCCUCGUGAAUUCAUCUCCGGGGGUAGAGCACUGUUUCGGCAAGGGGGUCAUCCCGACUUACCAACCCGAUGCAAACUGCGAAUACCGGAGAAUGUUAUCACGGGAGACACACGGCGGGUGCUAACGUCCGUCGUGAAGAGGGAAACAACCCAGACCGCCAGCUAAGGUCCCAAAGUCAUGGUUAAGUGGGAAACGAUGUGGGAAGGCCCAGACAGCCAGGAUGUUGGCUUAGAAGCAGCCAUCAUUUAAAGAAAGCGUAAUAGCUCACUGGUCGAGUCGGCCUGCGCGGAAGAUGUAACGGGGCUAAACCAUG
rnacentral:rRNA from 1 species